rnacentral:rRNA from 1 species
GAUGAACGCUGACAGAAUGCUUAACACAUGCAAGUCAACUUGAAUUUGGGUUUUUAACUUCGGUUUGGGUGGCGGACGGGUGAGUAACGCGUAAAGAACUUGCCUCCCGGCUAGGGACAACAUUUGGAAACGAAUGCUAAUACCUAAUAUUAUGUUUAUAGGGCCUCCUAUAUUUAUGAAAGCUAUAAGCGCUGUGAGAGAGCUUUGCGUGCCAUUAGCUAGUUGGAGAGGUAACGGCUCACCAAGGCGAUGAUGGGUAGCCGGCCUGAGAGGGUGAUCGGCCACAAGGGGACUGAGACACGGCCCGUACUCCGACGGGAGGCAACAGGGGGGAAUAUUGGACAAGGGACCGAGAGUCUGAUCCAGCAAUUCUGUGUGCACGAUGAAGUUUUUCGGAAUGUAAAGUGCUUUCAGUUGGGAAGAAACAAAUGACGGUACCAACAGAAGAAGUGACGGCUAAAUACGUG